GACAGAGGUGCCAAGCGUUAGGCGGAAUCACUGGGCUUAAAGCGUGUGUAGGUGGAUCGUUAAGUACCUUGUGAAAUCCCUCGGCUCAACCGGGGAAUGGCUGGGUAUACUGACAGGCUUGAGGUUGGUAGGGGUGCCUGGAACUCUAGGUGGAGCGGUGAAAUGCGUAGAUAUCUAGAGGAACGCCCGUGGCGAAAGCGGGGCACUGGGCCACACCUGACGCUAAGACGCGAAAGCGUGGGGAGCAAACGGG
rnacentral:rRNA from 1 species